AACGUGGGUAACCUGCCCAAGAGACUGGGAUAACACCUGGAAACAGAUGCUAAUACCGGAUAACAACACUAGACGCAUGUCUAGAGUUUAAAAGAUGGUUCUGCUAUCACUCUUGGAUGGACCUGCGGUGCAUUAGCUAGUUGGUAAGGUAACGGCUUACCAAGGCAAUGAUGCAUAGCCGAGUUGAGAGACUGAUCGGCCACAUUGGGACUGAGACACGGCCCAAACUCCUACGGAAGGCAGCAG
rnacentral:rRNA from 1 species